AACGAACGCUGGCGGCGUGCCUUACACAUGCAAGUCGAACGAGAAAGUCACUUCGGUGGCGAGUAGAGUGGCGCACGGGUGAGUAACACGUAGGUGACCUACCUUUGGAGGGGGAUAACACGGAGAAAUUCGUGCUAAUACCCCGUAAGUUAAACAAUUUUGAAAGUAGUUUAAGAAAGAGUGCCUCUCCUUGGAAGCACUUGCCGAAAGAUGGGCCUGCGGAGCAUUAGCUUGAUGGUGGGGUAAUGGCCUACCAUGGCGACGAUGCUUAGCGGAUCUGAGAGGAUGAUCCGUCACACUGGAACUGAGACACGGUCCAG
rnacentral:rRNA from 1 species